CCUACGGGAGGCUGCAGUGGGGAAUAUUGGACAAUGGGGGCAACCCUGAUCCAGCCAUGCCGCGUGUGUGAAGAAGGCCCUCGGGUUGUAAAGCACUUUCAGUGAGGAAGAACGCCUGGUGGUUAAUACCCAUCAGGAAAGACAUCACUCACAGAAGAAGCACCGGCUAGCUCCGUGCCAGCAGCCGCGGUAAUACGGAGGGUGCGAGCGUUAAUCGGAAUUACUGGGCGUAAAGCGCGCGUAGGUGGCUUGAUAAGCCGGUUGUGAAAGCCCCGGGCUCAACCUGGGAACGGCAUCCGGAACUGUCAAGCUAGAGUGCAGGAGAGGAAGGUAGAAUUCCCGGUGUAGCGGUGAAAUGCGUAGAGAUCGGGAGGAAUACCAGUGGCGAAGGCGGCCUUCUGGACUGACACUGACACUGAGGUGCGAAAGCGUGGGUAGCAAACAGGAUUAGAUACCCUUGUAGUC
rnacentral:rRNA from 1 species